AAGGGUAUUAGUGAUGUCACUACAGCAAAUAUUAUUAUUGGCAACGUACCUUAUGAUGAUGAUGAGCUGCAAGAAUGAAGCAGCUGACGCUGCUAAACAAAAGAUAACGUAAUACCCAUUAUAUAAUAAUAGGUAAUAAUGUAUGUUGAAAUUAUUAUCGAGCCACAGAUUAUAUGAAUAUAUAAUCUAUAAUGGAAUUUUAUAUUACAAAUUAGAUGUUUUAUAACAAGUUGAACCAUUCACAGUGUAUAUGCGAUUACAACAAUUAUAAGGAUUACUGGAAAUACAGUGUGGCAUGUGCAGCAGGGUCUAUCUCGUUAAUUUAGUUAAUUUACGGGUGGCGGGAGAUAGUACGGCCAAAUGAAACUAAUGUAGCGAUAAGGUUUUAAAUUAACUGGGGAAAAUCAGGCAGCCGUGUAUUUUAAUGGAAACAAGAAUAACUGCACUUUAGGAGGUAAUUUUGGACAGAUCGACUCAAAAACGACACCGGUCUGAGCGCGCACUUUUUAUAAAUCAGUGGACGAGUAAAACGUAAACAAUUUUAACUGGAGAAAAUAAAGUAAAACUGGGUGCGGUAUUAGUACCUAUGUUUUACACUGCACUGCGUCUAACUUCUAGCGAUCAAGUAUCUAUACGUUCUUUAUUUAAGAAUAAAUAAAUAAAAUAUUACACUUGAUUUUAUAUAUUAUGUUGUUAACACAAUAUUAUAAAACACAGGCUCUAAAUUUUGCUCUCAUCAAUUUAAAGGUUUUAUGUUACUGACAUUAAAUUUUGUUCGUGCCUGUACUGAAG